rnacentral:rRNA from 1 species
GCGGUGUAAAAUGAGCGUGCGUCCUAUUAGCUAGUUGGUGAGGUAAUGGCUCACCAAGGCUACGAUGGGUAGGGGUUCUUAGUGGAAGGUCCCCCACACUGGCACUGAGAUACGGGCCAGACUCCUACGGGAGGCAGCAGUAGGGAAUAUUGGUCAAUGGGCGCAAGCCUGAACCAGCCAUGCCGCGUGCAGGAUGAAGGCUCUCUGAGUUGUAAACUGCUUUUGUACAGGAGCAAAAAAAUCCCUGCGGGGGUUCUUGAGAGUACUGUAAGAAUAAGCACCGGCUAAUUCCGUGCCAGCAGCCGCGGUAAUACGGGAGGUGCAAGCGUUAUCCGGUUUUAUUGGGUUUAAAGGGUGCGUAGGCGGCUUAUUAAGUCAGUUGUGAAAUCCUAGUGCUUAACGCUGGAACUGCUAUUGAUACUAUUAGGCUUGAGUUAAAGAAGAGGU